rnacentral:rRNA from 1 species
UCUUGGUCAUUUAGAGGAAGUAAAAGUCGUAACAAGGUUUCCGUAGGUGAACCUGCGGAAGGAUCAUUAAUGAAUUUAUAAUCCGGCGAGACGAAGGACGAGGACUGUCGCUGGCCUUUCAUCGAGGCAUGUGCACGCUCUCUUCUGGACUUUCGCCGUAUGGGCGCGGGGCGACCCGCGUCUUCAUAUACCUCUUCGUGUAGAAAGUCUUUGAAUGUUUUUACAAUCAUCGAGUCGUGACUUCUAGGAGACGCGAUUCUUUGAGACAAAAGUUAUCACAACUUUCAGCAAUGGAUCUCUUGGCUCUCGCAUCGAUGAAGAACGCAGCGAAUCGCGAUAUGUAAUGUGAAUUGCAGAUCUACAGUGAAUCAUCGAAUCUUUGAACGCACCUUGCGCUCCUCGGUGUUCCGAGGAGCAUGCCUGUUUGAGCGUCAGUAAAUUCUCAACCCCUCUCGAUUUGCUUCGAGUGGGGCUUGGAUGGUGGGGGCUGCCGGAGACCUGGAAUUCAUUCUCGGACUCGGGCUCCUCUGAAAUGCAUCGGCUUGCGGUCGACUUUCGACUUUGCGCGACAAAGCUUUCGGCGUGAUAAUGAUCGCCGUUCGCUGAAGCGCAUGAAUGAAUGGUCCCGUGCCUCUAAUCAGUCGACGCCUUCUGGGCGUCUUCCUUAUAGACGUUUGACCUCAAAUCAGGUAGGACUACCCGCUGAACUUAAGCAUAUCAAUAAGCGGAGGAAAAGAAACUAACAAGGAUUCCCCUAGUAACUGCGAGUGAACCGGGAAAAGCUCAAAUUUUGAAUCUGGCGGUCUUUACGGUCGUCCGAGUUGUAAUCUAGAGAAGCGUCUUCCGCGCUGGACCGUGUAC